AUGGCUCUGGGCAGACAUCUCUUCCUGGGGGGACUCUGUGUCCUCCUCCUCAGCACCAUGGUGGGUGGUCAAGCUCUGGAGCUGAGGCUGAAGGAUGGAGCCCACCGCUGUGAGGGGAGAGUGGAAGCGAAGUACAAAGGGGAAUGGGGCACAGUGUAUGCUGAGUACUGGCUCCUAGCAGGUGUAGAAGAGGUGUGCAGACAACUGGAAUGUGGAGUUGCCAUUGAUGCUCCCAGAGGGUCUUAUUUUGGACCAAGACUUGGCCCCAUUUGGUUUUUAUAUAUUUCCUGCGAGAGUAGAGAGGAUGAAUCAACUUUGACUCUCUAUGAGUGUGUUCAUGUUCAUUUUAAAAACUAUAAUGACACCUUCUCUCAUGACCAGGAUAUUGGAGCAGUCUGCUCAGGAUCUGUGCGUCUGUUUGGAGGGGAUAGACCCUGCUCAGGGCAUGUAGAAGUACAUUCUGGAAAAGAAUGGAUCCCAGUGUCUGAUGGGAAUUUCACACUCCCCACUGCCCAGGUCAUCUGUGCAGAGCUGGGAUGCGGCAAGGCUGUGUCUGUCCUGAAACACAUGCCCUUCAGAGAGUCUGAUGGCCAGGUCUGGGCUGAAGAGUUCAGGUGUGAAGGGGAGGAGCCUGAGCUCUGGGUCUGCCCCAGAGUGCCCUGUCCAGGGGGCAUGUGUCACCACAGUGGAGCUGUUCAGGUUGCCUGUUCAGCAGCGUACUCGGAAUUGCGGCUCAUGACAAACGGCUCCUCUCAGUGUGAGGGGCAGGUGGAGAUGAACAUUUCUGGACGAUGGAGAGCGCUGUGUGCCUCCCACUGGACUCUGGCCAAUGCCAAUGUUGUCUGUCGACAGCUUGGCUGUGGAGUUGCCAUCUCCACCCCCAGAGGACCACACUUGGUGGGCAGAGAUGACCAGAUCUCAGCAGUCCGAUUUCACUGUUUGGGGACUGAGUCUUUCCUGUGGAGUUGCCCUGUGACUGCCCUGGGUGGUUCUGACUGUUCCCAUGGCAACAUGGCCUCUGUGACCUGCUCAGGAAACCAGACCCAGGUGCUGCCCCAGUGCAGUGACUCCCUCCCUGAACCAACAGGCUCUGCAGCCUCAGGGGAGAGCGCCCCCUACUGCUCAGACAGCAGACGGCUCCGCCUGGUGGACGGGGGCGGUCACUGCGCCGGGAGAGUGGAGAUUCUUGACCAGGGCUCCUGGGGCACCAUCUGUGAUGACGGCUGGGACCUGGAAGAUGCCCACGUGGUGUGCAGGCAGCUGGGCUGUGGAGAAGCCCUCAAUGCCACGAGGUCUGCUCACUUCGGGGCAGGAUCAGGGCCCAUCUGGCUGGAUGACCUAAACUGCACAGGAAAGGAGUCCCACGUGUGGAGGUGCCCUUCCCGGGGCUGGGGGCGGCACGACUGCAGACACAAGCAGGACGCGGGGGUCAUCUGCUCAGAGUUCCUGGCCCUCAGGAUGGUGAGUGAGGACCAGCAGUGUGCUGGGUGGCUGGAAGUUUUCUACAACGGGACCUGGGGCAGUGUCUGCCGCAACCCCAUGGAAUAUAUCACCGUGUCCCUGAUCUGCAGACAGCUUGGCUGUGGGGACAGUGGAAGUCUCAACCCUUCUGUUGCUCUUAGAGAAGGUUCUAGACCCCAGUGGGUGGAUGGAAUCCGCUGUCGGAAAACAGACACCUCUCUCUGGCAGUGUCCUUCUGACCCUUGGAAUUACACUUCCUGCUCUCCCAAGGAGGAAGCCUAUAUCUCGUGUGAAGACAGCAGACAGCUCCGCCUGGUGGAUGGAGGAGGUCCCUGCGCCGGGAGAGUGGAGAUCCUUGACCAGGGCUCCUGGGGCACCAUCUGUGAUAACGGCUGGGACUUGGAUGAUGCCCGCGUGGUGUGCAGGCAGCUGGGCUGUGGAGACGCCCUCAAUGCCACGGGGUCUGCUCACUUUGGGUCAGGAUCAGGGCCUAUCUGGCUGGACACACUGGACUGCAGAGGAAAGGAAUCCCACGUGUGGAAGUGCCCUUCCCGGGGCUGGGGAGCGCACAACUGCAGUCAUAACGAUGCCGGAGUCAUCUGCUCAGGAUUUGUGCGUCUGGUUGGAGACAACGGACCCUGCUCAGGACGGGUAGAAGUACGUCCUGGAGAAGAAUGGACCCCAGUGUCUGACGGGAACUUCACACUCCCCACUGCCCAGGUCAUCUGUGCAGAGCUGGGGUGCGGCAAGGCUGUGUCUGUUCUGGGACACGAGCUCUUCAGAGAGUCUGAUGGCCGGGUCUGGGCUGAAGAGUUCAGGUGUGAGGGGGAGGAACGUAAGCUCUGGUGGUGCCCCAGAGUGCCCUGUCCAGGGGGCACUUGUCACCACAGUGGAGCUGCUCAGGUUAUUUGUUCAGUGUACUCAGAAGUCCGACUCAUGACGAAUGGCUCCUCUCAGUGUGAAGGGCAGGUGGAGAUAAACAUUUCUGGACGAUGGAGAGCGCUCUGUGCCUCCCACUGGAGUCUGGCCAAUGCCAAUGUCGUCUGUCGUCAGCUCAGCUGUGGAGUCGCCAUCUCUACCCCCAGAGGACCAUACUUGGUGGAGAGAGGUGACCAGAUAUCAACAGUCCGAUUUCACUGCUCGGGGGCAGAGUCCUUCCUGUGGAGUUGCCCUGUGACUGCUUUGGGUGGUCCUGACUGUUCCCAUGGCAACACAGCCUCUGUGAUCUGCUCAGGAAACCAGACCCAGGUGCUGCCCCAGUGCAACGACUCCGUGUCUGAACCAGCAGGCUCUGCGGCCUCAGAGGAGAGCGCCCCCUACUGCUUAGACAGCAGGCGGCUCCGCCUGGUGGAUGGAGGAGGUCUCUGUGCCGGGAGAGUGGAGAUCCUUGACCAGGGCUCCUGGGGCACCAUCUGUGAUGACGGCUGGGACCUGGACGAUGCCCGCGUGGUGUGCAGGCAGUUGGGCUGUGGACAAGCCCUCAGUGCCACGAGGUCAGCUCACUUUGGGGCGGGAUCAGGGCCCAUCUGGCUGGACGACCUGAACUGCACAGGAAAUGAGUCCCACGUGUGGAGAUGCCCUUCCCGGGGCUGGGGGCGGCACGACUGCAGACACAAGGAGGACGCGGGGGUCAUCUGCUCAGAGUUCCUGGCCCUCAGGAUGGUGAGUGAGAACCAGGAGUGUGCUGGGUGGCUGGAAGUUUUCUACAACGGGACCUGGGGUAGUGUCUGCAGCAGCUCCAUGGAUGAUGUCACCGUGUCCAUCAUCUGCAGUCAGCUUGGCUGUGGGGACAGCGGAAGUCUCAACACCUCUGUUGGUCUCAGGGAAGGUUCUAGACCCCAUUGGGUAGAUGGAAUCCAGUGCCAGAGAACUGACCACUCUCUGUGGCAGUGUCCUUCUGACCCUUGGAAUUACAACUCAUGCUCUCCCAAGGAGGAAGCCUAUAUCUCGUGUGCAGGGAGAAGACCCAAGAGCUGUCCAGCUGCUGCCCCCUGCACAGACAGAGAGAAGCUCCGGCUCAGGGGAGGAGACAGCGAGUGCUCAGGGCGGGUGGAGGUGUGGCACAGCGGCUCCUGGGGCACUGUGUGCGAUGACUCCUGGAGCCUGGCAGAGGCCGAGGUGGUGUGUCAGCAGCUGGGCUGUGGCCAGGCCUUGGAAGCUGUGCGGACUGCGGCAUUCGGCCCUGGAAACGGGAGCAUCUGGCUGGACGAGGUGCGGUGCCGGGGCCGGGAGUCCUCCUUGUGGGACUGUGCUGCAGAGCCCUGGGGGCAGAGCGACUGCAAGCACGAGGAGGAUGCUGGUGUGAGGUGCUCUGGUGCAAGGACAUCUUUGCCCCCAACUACAACAGGGACCAGACCAGCUUUGAAUCCUCUGCCUGGCAUCUUCUCCCUGCCUUGGGUCCUCUGCCUCAUCCUGGGAGCCCUACUCUUCCUGGUCCUCAUCAUCCUGGUGACUCAGUUGCUCAGAUGGAGAGCAGAGCGCAGAGCCUUUUCCAGCUAUGAAGAUGCUCUUGCUGAAGCUGAGUAUGAAGAGCUCGAUUACCUUGUGACACAGAAGGAGGGUCUUCUGGACGUUGCAGGCUUCCUGUCAGAUGGUGAGGACGACGAGGACUCCAGAUCCACUCCAGAACAUCAGAGGACUGAUGCCCCUGGUGAGGGUUAUGAUGAUGCUGAAGAGGUACCAGUGCCUGGGGCUCCUCCUGCCUCUCAGGUGAGAGAAGAGGAAGUGCCCCCAGAGAAGGAAGAUGGGAUGAGGUCUCAGACAGGCUCUUCUCUAUUCGUCUUUGGAGAGGAAGCUGAUCCUGGGGAAGGAGAAGAGAGCCCAUGGCUGCUCCAGGGGGACAAAGGUGACCCUGGGUAUGAUGACAUUGAUGUGCCCCAGGAACAGUGACUUUCCCAUGAUGUUGUAUUAAAUAUGAGAUGAAGCCUCAGAUAUUCUAAUUGCCUGUAUUUCAAUACAGUAAUGCUGACCUGUAAUUGUGUUAUAUGGACAUUGUUCAAAAUGAAACAUUCUGAAUAAAGUAACUUUUUGCUGUGUUGCUAAUUUAGCA
rnacentral:lncRNA from 1 species